AGUAAAGUAAGCUAAAUAAGCUCUUGGGCCCAUACCCCAAACAUGAUGGUUAGACCCCUUCCUUUACUA
rnacentral:tRNA from 4 species